rnacentral:rRNA from 1 species
UACGUAGGGGGCAAGCGUUGUCCGGAUUUAUUGGGCGUAAAGAGCGUGUAGGCGGUUUGGUAGGUCCGCUGUGAAAACUCGAGGCUCAACCUCGAGACGCCGAUGGAAACCAUCUGACUAGAGUCCGGAAGAGGAGAGUGGAAUUCCUGGUGUAGCGGUGAAAUGCGCAGAUAUCAGGAAGAACACCCGUGGCUAAGGCGGCUCUCUAGUACGUGACUGACGCUGAGACGCGAAAGCGUGGGGAGCGAACAGG